AAUAAAUGAUUUAAUUUUAAAAAGUAACUGGAACAGUACAGAAAACAUUAGCAUGGCCCCUGAACAAGGAUGACACCCAAAUUAGGGAAGAGUUCUAUAUUUUA
rfam:Otolemur garnettii contig167327, whole genome shotgun sequence.